rnacentral:rRNA from 1 species
GGAUUAGUGGCGAACGGGUGAGUAACACGUGGGCAAUCUGCCCUUCACUCUGGGACAAGCCCUGGAAACGGGGUCUAAUACCGGAUAACACUCUGUCCCGCAUGGGACGGGGUUGAAAGCUCCGGCGGUGAAGGAUGAGCCCGCGGCCUAUCAGCUUGUUGGUGGGGUAAUGGCCUACCAAGGCGACGACGGGUAGCCGGCCUGAGAGGGCGACCGGCCACACUGGGACUGAGACACGGCCCAGACUCCUACGGGAGGCAGCAGUGGGGAAUAUUGCACAAUGGGCGAAAGCCUGAUGCAGCGACGCCGCGUGAGGGAUGACGGCCUUCGGGUUGUAAACCUCUUUCAGCAGGGAAGAAGCGAAAGUGACGGUACCUGCAGAAGAAGCGCCGGCUAACUACGUGCCAGCAGCCGCGGUAAUACGUAGGGCGCAAGCGUUGUCCGGAAUUAUUGGGCGUAAAGAGCUCGUAGGCGGCUUGUCACGUCGGAUGUGAAAGCCCGGGGCUUAACCCCGGGUCUGCAUUCGAUACGGGCUAGCUAGAGUGUGGUAGGGGAGAUCGGAAUUCCUGGUGUAGCGGUGAAAUGCGCAGAUAUCAGGAGGAACACCGGUGGCGAAGGCGGAUCUCUGGGCCAUUACUGACGCUGAGGAGCGAAAGCGUGGGGAGCGAACAGGAUUAGAUACCCUGGUAGUCCACGCCGUAAACGUUGGGAACUAGGUGUUGGCGACAUUC